rnacentral:rRNA from 1 species
GACAGAGGUGCCAAGCGUUAGGCGGAAUCACUGGGCUUAAAGCGUGUGUAGGCGGGUCGUUAAGUGCUUUGUGAAAUCCCACGGCUCACCCGUGGAACUGCUUGGCAUACUGCGAGCCUUGAGCCACUUAGGGGCAACCGGAACAAACGGUGGAGCGGUGAAAUGCGUAGAUAUCGUUUGGAACGCCAAUGGUGAAAACAGGUUGCUGGGAGUGCGCUGACGCUGAGACACGAAAGCCAGGGGAGCGAACGGG